rnacentral:rRNA from 1 species
GAUGAACGCUGGCGGCGUGCCUAAUACAUGCAAGUCGAGCGAACAGAUGAGGAGCUUGCUCCUCUGACGUUAGCGGCGGACGGGUGAGUAACACGUGGACAACCUACCUAUAAGACUGGGAUAACUUCGGGAAACCGGAGCUAAUACCGGAUAAUAUAUUGAACCGCAUGGUUCAAUAGUGAAAGACGGUUUUGCUGUCACUUAUAGAUGGAUCCGCGCCGCAUUAGCUAGUUGGUAAGGUAACGGCUUACCAAGGCAACGAUGCGUAGCCGACCUGAGAGGGUGGUCGGCCACACUGGAACUGAGACACGGUCCAGACUCCUACGGGAGGCAGCAGUAGGAAAUCUUCCGCAAUGGACGAAAGCCUGACGGAGCAACGCCGCGGGAGUGAUGAAGGUCUUCGGAUCGUAAAACUCUGUUAUUAGGGAAGAACAAAUGUGUAAGUAACUAUGCACGUCUUGACGGUACCUAAUCAGAAAGCCACGGCUAACUACGUG